UACGAAGGGGGCUAGCGUUGUUCGGAUUUACUGGGCGUAAAGCGCACGUAGGCGGAUCUUUAAGUCAGAGGUGAAAUCCCAAGGCUCAACCUUGGAACUGCCUUUGAUACUGGGGAUCUUGAGUCCGGGAGAGGGAUGUGGAAUUCCAGGUGUAGCGGUGAAAUGCGUAGAUAUCUGGAGGAACACCGGUGGCGAAGGCGGCAUCCUGGACCGGUAUUGACGCUGAG
rnacentral:rRNA from 1 species